UAAUCGAUUAUCUGCCAAUUUCCAGCUUAAAUUGGAAAUUCCGCAAGGGUCAAUAAUCGAUUAUCCCCUAGAGAAUAAUCGAUUAUUCACUAACCGUUGCCUUCCCAACGUUCCGUUUUAUGAACGUUGAGAAGAUAAUCGAUUAUGUAAAGUGAAUAAUCGUUUAUCUUGGCAUAAAAUCAGCAUGAUUGAUUGCCUAUUAAGCAA
rnacentral:lncRNA from 1 species